rnacentral:rRNA from 1 species
UACCAGCACCCCGAGUGGUCGGGACGAUUAUUGGGCCUAAAGCAUCCGUAGCCGGUUCUGCAAGUCUCCCGUUAAAUCCAACUGCUCAACAGGUGGGCUGCGGAGGAUACUACAGAGCUAGGAGGCAGGAGAGGCAAGCGGUACUCAGUGGGUAGGGGUAAAAUCCGUUGAUCCAUUGAAGACCACCAGUGGCGAAGGCGGCUUGCCAGAAUGCGCUCGACGGUGAGGGAUGAAAGCUGGGGGAGCAAACCGGG